rfam:Oryza sativa (indica cultivar-group) chromosome 1, whole genome shotgun sequence.
AAUGUUUGAUGCCGUUGACUUUUUAGCACAUGUUUGACCGUUCGUCUUAUUCAAAAAAUUUAAGUAAUUAUUAAUUCUUUUCCUAUCAUUUGAUUCAUUGUUAAAUAUAUUUUUAUGUAGGCAUAUAAUUUUACAUAUUUCACAAAAGUUUUUGAAUAAGACGAACGGUCAAACAUGUGCUAAAAAGUCAACGGCGUCAAACAUU